UACGGAGGGUGCAAGCGUUGUCCGGAUUUAUUGGGUUUAAAGGGUGCGUAGGCGGCUAAUUAAGUCAGCGGUGAAAUUCCACAGCUCAACUGUGGAACUGCCAUUGAUACUGGUUGGCUUGAGUACAGAUGAGGUAGGCGGAAUUGACAGUGUAGCGGUGAAAUGCUUAGAUACUGUCAAGAACACCUAUUGCGAAGGCAGCUUACUAAGCUGUAACUGACGCUGAGGCACGAAAGCGUGGGGAUCAAACAGG
rnacentral:rRNA from 1 species